rnacentral:rRNA from 1 species
UCAGGAUGAACGCUAGCGGCAGGCCUAAUACAUGCAAGUCGAACGGUGAUAGCAAUAUCAUAGUGGCGCACGGGUGCGUAACACGUAUGCAACCUACCUAUUAUUGGGGGAUAGCCUUUGGAAACGGAGAUUAAUACCGCAUAAUACGAUUGACUGGCAUCGGUUGAUUGUUAAAGCUUCGGCGAUAAUAGAUGGGCAUGCGUCCAAUUAGUUAGUUGGUUAGGUAACGGCUGACCAAGACGAUGAUUGGUAGGGGAUCUGAGAGGAUAAUCCCCCACACUGGCACUGAGAUACGGGCCAGACUCCUACGGGAGGCAGCAGUAGGGAAUAUUGGGCAAUGGGCGGAAGCCUGACCCAGCCAUGCCGCGUGCAGGAAGAAGGCGUUAUGCGUUGUAAACUGCUUUUUUAUAGGAAGAAGGAUCCCUUGCGAGGGAAGGUGACGGUACUAUAAGAAUAAGCACCGGCUAACUCCGUGCCAGCAGCCGCGGUAAUACGGAGGGUGCAAGCGUUGUCCGGAUUUAUUGGGUUUAAAGGGUGCGUACGCGGUUUAUUAAGUCAGUGGUGAAAGACGGUCGCUCAAUGAUUGCAGUGCCAUUGGUACUGGUA